rnacentral:rRNA from 1 species
UACGUAGGGUGCGAGCGUUGUCCGGAAUUAUUGGGCGUAAAGAGCUCGUAGGCGGCUUGUCGCGUCGGAUGUGAAAGCCCGGGGCUUAACCCCGGGUCUGCAUUCGAUACGGGCAGGCUAGAGUUCGGUAGGGGAGAUCGGAAUUCCUGGUGUAGCGGUGAAAUGCGCAGAUAUCAGGAGGAACACCGGUGGCGAAGGCGGGACUCUGGGCCGAUACUGACGCUGAGGAGCGAAAGCGUGGGGAGCAAACAGG